rnacentral:lncRNA from 1 species
UUUUUUCUUUACAAACAAGAAAGUAUGUUUUUCAUGAGAAAGUGUUUUUUUCAUGUUUUUUACUAUUUGGUGUAAGACCAGUUGGGUUACAUGGUUAUAUAUAAUUGAGUAUAACAAUAUAUUAAAACUAAAAAAAAAAAAAAAGCAAGACUCUUUAAUUUUAGUGAAAGAGAAGUCAAUCUUUCCCAUGAAUAUAUAUAAAUGGUUUCAGUCUCACGUUUAUACACACUAAAAGCUUACGUAUCAAAAGGUGAUGAGAAAACAAACACAUAAAAAAGUUGAAUAAUAGUAUAAUACCCUAAUAAGAAUAGUUUCUAAAUUGUAAUACAAAACACUUUUAAUUACACAACAAAUGUAACAAAGGGAGAAGAAAGUGUGUACGUUAGCAAAAGUGAGAAUCUCUUGUUGUCUUCUUUGGCUUCGCAUAUAUGUUUGGCUGGCUUUAACAGCUCCCUGUGACGUGGACUCUUUUUUUUCUCUUAAGUCUCGUCUCUUCGUUUUCUCCAAGAGGCUCUCUCUCUCUCUCUCUCUCUCCCUUAUUUUUAGGAUUAUAAAUCUAUUUUAACGAAUAUAACUUUUGUCGAUUAUUCAAUUUAGCAGUCGUGUAUGUAUAAUGUAAAAAAAAAAAAUACGUG